rnacentral:rRNA from 1 species
GACGAACGCUGGCGGCGUGCUUAACACAUGCAAGUCGAACGGAAAGGCCUGCUUUCCCUUGUGGAUUGCGGGUACUCGCGUGGCGAACGGGUGAGUAACACGUGAGUGAUCUGCCCCCAACUUGGGUAUAAGCCUGGGAAACUGGGUCUAAUUCCCGAUAGGACUGCAGGGUGGUGCCUGUGGUGGAAAACGAUUUUCUAGUGGUUGGGGAUGAGCUCGCGGCCUAUCAGCUUGUUGGUGGGGUAAUGGCCUACCAAGGCGGCGACGGGUAGCCGGCCUGAGAGGGUGGACGGCCACAUUGGGACUGAGAUACGGCCCAGACUCCUACGGGAGGCAGCAGUGGGGAAUAUUGCACAAUGUGCGGAAGCCUGAUGCAGCGACGCCGCGUGGGGGAUGACGGCCUUCGGGUUGUAAACUCCUUUCGACCGCGAGGAAGCCACCUGGUUGGAAGGGUGGUGACGGUAGUGGUAGAAGAAGCACCGGCUAACUACGUG